CAUCUUCAUCUUCGGUACGAAGCUAUAAAUACCAUCUCCACAUCUCUCCCAUUUCAUCAAUCAACGCAAACACUCCACAUCUCUCUCUCCUCUUCAGUCCUCACUCUCAUAUCAUCUCAUUGAGAUUUGCUUCUCUUCUUCAACUACAGCAGCAGCAGCAGCAGACAGAACACGCCCAAUAUGGCCUCCCUUUCUACUUCUUCGCUUUGCAUCGCCACUCUGCUUCUCGUGGUCGUUUCUUGGGGGACGUUUGCUUCCGCCCGCAACUUCUAUCAAGACUUCGACAUAACCUGGGGUGAUGGCCGAGCUCAGAUCCUCAACAACGGCGACCUCCUCACUCUCUCCCUCGACAAGGCCUCCGGCUCCGGCUUCCAGUCCAAGAACGAGUACUUGUUCGGCAAGAUUGACAUGCAGCUCAAGCUAGUUCCCGGCAACUCCGCUGGCACCGUCACCGCAUACUAUGUAAGUCUCCUUCUUAAUCAGUUUGUGCCCCUUUAUCUUCAAGCUUCCUUCUUUUUUUCUCGAUCAGAUUUUUAAUUUUUGCUAUGUUGUUAUUCUACAGUUAUCUUCAAACGGGUCGGCGUGGGAUGAGAUAGACUUCGAGUUCUUGGGGAACUUGAGCGGCGAUCCAUACAUUCUCCACACCAACGUCUUCAGCCAAGGCAAGGGUAACCGAGAGCAGCAAUUCUAUCUCUGGUUCGACCCAACUGCUGAUUUCCACACCUACUCCAUCCUCUGGAAUCCACAACGCAUCAUGUAAGAGUCUGAAAAGCUCAAAAUGCGACCUUACUUGCAUUUACAUUGCGCUACACUAUUCUCUGCGGCAUUUACUCAAAUACCUUUGUGCGCGACCAUUGCAGAUUCUCAGUGGACGGGACUCCCAUCAGAGAGUUCAAGAACGCAGAGUCCAUCGGUGUUCCCUUCCCCAAGGCCCAGCCCAUGAGGAUAUUCUCGAGCCUCUGGAACGCGGACGACUGGGCGACCAGAGGCGGGCUCGUGAAGACGGACUGGACGCAAGCGCCCUUCACUGCUUCCUACAGGAACUUCAACGCCGAUAACGCCUGCGUUUGGUCAUCUGGGUCGUCAUCUUGCACUUCGUCUUCAUCUUCUUCGGAUGGUAAUGCAUGGCUAGCAGAAGAGCUUGACUCGACAAGCCAAGAGAGGCUCAAGUGGGUGCAGAGCAACUACAUGAUCUACAACUACUGCACGGAUGCCAAAAGAUUCCCCCAGGGCUUCCCUCCUGAGUGCUCCAUGUCCUAAACGACACAAGACAUAGGAUUUGUAGAAAAUUCUCUAUUCGUUUUUUUCCCUUUUUGGAGCCGAUUCUAUCAAUCUGUUAAUCUCUCUCUCUCUCUCUCUCUCUCUCUCUCUCUCGUCGAGAAGCAAUUGAUAUUCUUUUAUUCUUUGACACGUGUCACAUUCUUGUCUUUAUUAAAUGAAACAGAAAAUCAUCUUGGAUUUCAUAGCAUUGCUGUGAUUCUCAGUACACAUGUUUUUACAUGACCCCGAAGUGUAGGUUCGAAGUCUUGUAAUCAGUCUUGUAAUCUAUACAAUAAAUACUCCAAGCAAUGCUAUUUCUACUGUCUAUAAGGAUUUUCCCACGGCUAAUUUAGUAAAUUAAAAAAAUCACCCUCAAAGAAGAGGGAAAACAAAGAAAAAAAAAAGAAAAAAAGAAAAGAAAAAAUAAUUCGAAUUUAAAAAUAAAAGGGGGGGGGGGGGAGAGGAGGAGGAGGAAAUGAAGGCUUGGAAGAGUGUGAGAUAAGAGAAACCAAGUAAGAAAAAGUGGAAAACAUUUUUCCCUAGUUUAAAAGACUUUUUUUUCCUCAUUCAUGGAAAAUGUUUUCCCCAAGCAAUUCAUUUUUUUGUGAAAUAAACGUUGGAACUUUGGAAAACAUUUUUUUAGAAAUUAUUUUCCGCAAAACGAAUGAAGCCUGAAUGUAAACUUUGUAUGACCGGUACAAAAGAUAUAAACCACUUAUUCUUUUAGUGCACCUGGACAAGUAGUGUAUGGCAUAGUAUUUUGGUACAAAAUGGAAUUUGACAUUAUGUAGGAGGUUGGAACUUAGAACUUCAAUGAAUGAUUGGAGACACCAAGGGUAAAAACUUGAAGAUGAGACUCCUCAAGCUAUCUUUUUUAGCGACAAUCUAUUACAUCUGGAUGGAACACAAUCGCAAAUGAUUUCAAAACAAGUAGAUUGAGACUCAUGUUCUGUUAACUAAGAUUCAAAAGAUUGUAAGAGGUAAGACGUCACUCUACUAAAAAUGUAGGUCUUUCUAGGCAAAUGUUUUAUUAGCUCCUGUAUGGAGCCUCCCUCCUUCCAUCUUUUCGCAUUAAUGGUCUCUUUAUAAUGUUAGGGGAUCCCCCUAAGCUUAGUACCUCAUAUGAUUAAUGAUAUUCACAUAUUUACAAUUUUUUUUUUUUAAAAGUGCGAAAAUGAAAACCUGACAGUAGUCGACCAAAGAAUACACAUGGCCAUGUUUUAGAGCUUUAGGACAGGAUCCACCUUGAGUAAAAUGGAAAUUUAAGUAUUCAUGAAAUUAUUCUAAACGUGUGACAUUACACUAUUCUAAUCCAUGCCAAACAAAUUAUUUAUAAUAAAAGUUAUUUAUAGAAUACCCAAAAAAGCACUAAUUAGGGGAUGACUUUAGAAAAUUAGAGAAAUUCCAAACCUAUCAUUUAUGCUCUAGUUUAUUUAACAGUAAUAUAUACUUUUUGGUUUUCUUCCAUAUUUUUUAAUUAUUAUUUUUAAAAUUUGUUUGAAAAAUAAUAUCAAUUCAUUAGACUGAAGUAUGCUUAAUUCAAAUAAACAUGGACCAAUUCAAAACAUGAAUAUCACAUUAAUAAAGCUCGAAUCAACCUGUUCAAGAUUGGAAUGUGGUUUGGGCAUUUCGUCGAACGACCAAUGUGCAUUAGAAUACACAGACCAGUUCGUGACCUUCAAUCUUGACUCGAAAGUGAUCUUAAGCUCAAACAAGACAUCAGAGUUAUACUAAAACUUUUAGGGGAAAAUAUGAACAAGAAAUAAGAUCCCAAAAUACAUUAAAUUAUAAUUUAGCCUACCUUAUAUUGGUUCAACCUACUUUUGCAAAUCGAGGUUUGAACCCUAGUCAAGAAAAUAGGUCGCCUACCCCGAUUCAAGCCCUUAUAUCUAAUAUACUAAAGACUUUGGGAAAAAUUCACUCAAUCUGAAUGAAUGUAUGUAUUACGAGAUUUCAAAUGCAACAAACAUCCCAGAUAAUGAUCAACUACAAAGGUCAAAAUGACCCCUCAAAGUGGCCUUCAUGCAUGAUCCACACAAGCUAGCCAUCUAGUGUGAAUCGGUUCAGUUUUUUGUUCAAGUUCUAAGUGCUCCAUGGCUCAUAUAGAGAUUUAAAAACCAAAUGAAGUUGACCUAAGUAUCAUUUGUAAUCCCAUAUAAUAUUCAUCAAGUUUACAAAGACAGAUAACUCAUGUAAACAAGUGUAGCAAGUCAAGUAUGCAAGACUCUUGAAGCUAGUUCAACACUUAGAAAACCAGCCUCAGAUAUAAGUUUCCUAACUCUUGAUUUUCCAUGGUCAAAAUUGAACAAAAAUGCAUUUAAGAUCCCUACCUUGCUACCUAGUUGCUGCUCCUAAUAAGCUUCUAAGAUGGCAAAGAGAGUAGGAUUUGAAUUGCACACCAAAGAGAGAGAGGGUAUGCUUGGGACAUAUUUGUAAAAAUUGGAAUUAAUUUACGAAAGUACCUAAGUUUAGAGCAUCACCAAGAUAUGUGACCUCCUAGGAAAGUGUCUUCCUGUACGACAAAACAAAAGUUUGAGACUUUGUAUUGGAAGGGCCAAAAGGACAAUAUCUCGACUAAGUUAAUAAAUUAAUGUUAAUGUCGUUACAACAUUAAUUUCAAUUUUCACAAAUAUAAGUCAAGCGCACUCUUCUCAUGUUAGGUGUGGAAUUCUAUUUAUUCAUGUCCCCUUCACCAUUCUAGAAAUCUACUAUGAGCCAUUUUUUUAUCUGAAUCCUCUGGCUCCAACGACUACUCUUUCCCCCAUCAAACGGGAUGUGCUGUCUUCACUAUGAGAAACGACAUUAGCUGGCGGAAAAGCAGCGAGAGGUCAUGAUAACGCAUGUGCUGCUGGCGGUCGAUGGAUGAUCGAGCUCGUCUCUGCGUGGGGGUGGGCGUGCGAGGGGAAGCUUCGUGGUGUCUCUAACCGCGUCCCACUAAUUUAUUUGUACGACGGAGGUUGGUAUGUCGCCGCUCGUCUGUCUUCUUUUCAGAAUCAUAUUUUAAUAUCAGAAGCCAACUGUCCACAGUUGAGUCGGUGUCGAGGUUUGACUCCCAUCAAUCCUUCUUUGCCUCUCCUGUUCUCUCACACGUUUUCUCCCUCCUCCAUCUUCGGCACGAAGCUAUAAAUACCAUCUCCACAUCUCUCCCAUUUCAUCAACCAACAGAAACACCCACAUCUCUCCCUCCUCUUCAGUCCUCACUCUCAUAUCAUCUUUGCUUCUCUUCAGCAACUACAGCAGCAGCAGAAAGACAGACAGAACACGCCCAAUAUGGCCUUCCCUUCUACUUCCUCACUUUGCAUCACUACACUGCUUCUCGUGGUCGUUUCUUGGGCGACGUCUGCUUCCGCCCGCAACUUCUAUCAAGACUUCGACAUAACCUGGGGUGAUGGCCGAGCUCAGAUCCUCAACAACGGCGACCUCCUCACUCUCUCCCUUGACAAGGCCUCCGGCUCUGGCUUCCAGUC
rnacentral:lncRNA from 1 species